GACAGAGGGGGCAAGCGUUGCUCGGAAUCACUGGGCGUAAAGGGCGCGUAGGCGGGAUGGCAAGUCAGUCGUGAAAUCUCUCGGCUCAACCGAGAAACGUCGGCUGAUACUGCCGUUCUUGAGGGAUGCAGAGGAGACUGGAAUUCCCGGUGUAGCGGUGAAAUGUGUAGAGAUCGGGAGGAACACCGGUGGCGAAGGCGGGUCUCUGGGCCGGUACUGACACUGAGGAGCGAAAGCGUGGGUAGCAAACAGG
rnacentral:rRNA from 1 species